GACGAACGCUGGCGGCGUGCUUAACACAUGCAAGUCGAACGGAAAGGCCCUGCUUUUGUGGGGUGCUCGAGUGGCGAACGGGUGAGUAACACGUGAGUAACCUGCCCUUGACUUUGGGAUAACUUCAGGAAACUGGGGCUAAUACCUGAUAGGAGCUCCUGCUGCAUGGUGGGGGUUGGACAGUUUCGGGGGUUGGGGAUGGACUCGCGGCUUAUCAGCUUGUUGGUGGGGUAGUGGCUUACCAAGGCUUUGACGGGUAGCCGGCCUGAGAGGGUGACCGGCCACAUUGGGACUGAGAGACGGCCCAGACUCCUACGGGAGGCAGCAGUGGGGAAUAUGGCACAAUGGGCGGAAGCCUGAUGCAGCAACGCCGCGUGCGGGAUGACGGCCUUCGGGUUGUAAACCGCUUUCGCCUGUGACGAAGCGUGAGUGACGGUAAUGGGUAAAGAAGCACCGGCUAACUACGUG
rnacentral:rRNA from 1 species